rnacentral:rRNA from 1 species
GCGAGGCAGAGCGAAUCGCUAAAAGCCGUCCCAGUUCGGAUUGCAGGCUGCAACCCGCCUGCAUGAAGUUGGAAUCGCUAGUAAUCGCGGAUCAGCAUGCCGCGGUGAAUACGUUCCCGGGCCUUGUACACACCGCCCGUCACACCAUGAGAGUUGGAAAUACCCGAAGCCUGUGAGCUAACUGUAAAGAGGCAGCAGUCGAAGGUAGAGCCAAUGAUUGGGGUGAAGUCGUAACAAGGUACC